UAAGCUAUAAGGGCACUGUUGAGUUGGCCUAUGCAAUUGCAGGACAUUUGCCUUAAAAUUAAUUGAAUGGAGCUUUUAUCCGAGGACAAAUAAAGGUACUGGUUCUACACACUGUGCACACAGCGUUGAGUAGCCUAAAGCACGCUUCCAUCUCUGCAACAUCUUUUGUAUUUCAAUCACGCAGUGGAACGCUUCAGGGAAAUUAUGCAACAUGAGAACUGCGGAGCAGGGAAGUGAACCGGGAUUGCUGGCGUGAAGGCAAACACCCUACUCAUCACACCAGUAAGAUUAACCCACUUGGCUCCUGAGGUUGAGGUGCAUUAAGGUGCAUUACCGCCACCAACUGGACUGGAGUGUGGACCAGAGACAGCUCUUACCCUCUCAAGGAACCCUCCCUCAUUGGCUGAGGGAGCAACCAAGGUGGGAUAGCAGGAAGAACCAUAGAGAGGCUAAACUCCCUCCCAAACAACCCCAUCUCUCUCGCCAUGUCAUUGGCUUGGGACUGGAUUACAUGUAGCUUUUUAAAAGAUGGCGGAGCUGCUGAUCCAUAUGCUACUAUAUGCGCUAUAUAUAGCACUAUCAACGCUAUUCCCCCCCACCACCCCACCACCCCCACCCCCCCCCACACACACACUCCAAUCCUGACGGGCAAAG